rnacentral:misc_RNA from 1 species
AAGUCGUAACAAGGUUUCCGUAGGUGAACCUGCGGAAGGAUCAUUAGUGAAAAUAUAGCGCACCUUUUUAACAAGGGCGUGACCCUCUCACUUUUCAAACUCUGUGCACUUUUUUAUGGCAAGACUCGAUUUGAAAUCAAGUUUUGCGGCUCAUUUUUUUUUUAAUUAAAAAACACUACAAGUCAGAGUAUGUUCAAAUGAAAUUUAUAAUCAAAUAAAAACUUUCAACAACGGAUCUCUUGGCUCUC